GCGCACCAGGCGCGAAUCUUCCGCAAUGGACGAAAGUCUGACGGAGCGAUACAGCGUGGUGGAUGAAGUACUUCGGUACGUAAACACCUUUUAUGUGGGACGAAAUAAUUGACGGUACCACAUGAAUAAGGGGCUCCUAACUCUGUGCCAGCAGGAGCGGUAAUACAGAGGCCCCGAGCGUUAUCCGGAAUCAUUGGGCGGUAAAGGGUAGUCGAGGCGGUCAUGUUAGUCGUGUGUAAAAUACCGGAGGCUCAACCUCCGGCCCGCACACGAAACGGCAUGACUCGAGGUUGGAAGAGGUGCGUGGAACUCACGGUGUAGGGUGAAAUCCGUUGAUAUCGUGGGGAACACCAAAGGCGAAGGCAGCGCACUGGUCCAAAUCUGACGCUCACACACGAAAGCCAGGGUAGCGAAUGGGAUUAGAUACCCGCGUAGU
rnacentral:rRNA from 1 species